GAUCCUGCUCAGGACGAACGCUGGCGGCGUGCCUAACACAUGCAAGUCGAGCGGAGACAGUGAGUAGCUUGCUAUGAGCUGUUUUAGCGGCGGACGGGUGAGUAACGCGUGAGCAACCUUUCCCAGACAGGGGAAUAACACACCGAAAGGUGUACUAAUACCGCAUAAGACCACGGGAUCACAUGGUUCUGGGGUAAAAGAAUUAUCGGUUUGGGGUGGGCUCGCGUCCGAUUAGGUAGUUGGUGAGGUAACGG
rnacentral:rRNA from 1 species